UAGGGAAUCUUCCGCAAUGGACGCAAGUCUGACGGAGCAACGCCGCGUGAGUGAAGAAGGAUUUCGGUUCGUAAAACUCUGUUGUUAGAGAAGAACAGCGCAUAGAGUAACUGUUAUGCGUGUGACGGUAUCUAACCAGAAAGCCACGGCUAACUACGUUCCAGCAGCCGCGGUAAUACGUAGGUGGCAAGCGUUGUCCGGAUUUAUUGGGCGUAAAGCGAGCGCAGGCGGUCAAUUAAGUCUGAUGUGAAAGCCCCCGGCUCAACCGGGGAGGGUCAUUGGAAACUGGUUGACUUGAGUGCAGAAGAGGAGAGUGGAAUUCCAUGUGUAACGGUGAAAUGCGUAGAUAUAUGGAGGAACACCAGUGGCGAAGGCGACUCUCUGGUCUGUAACUGACGCUGAGGUUCGAAAGCGUGGGUAGCAAACAGG
rnacentral:rRNA from 1 species